GGGCAGUGCGGCAGCCUACACAUGCAAGUCGAACGGUAGCACAGAGAGCUUGCUCUCGGGUGACGAGUGGCGGACGGGUGAGUAAUGUCUGGGAAACUGCCUGAUGGAGGGGGAUAACUACUGGAAACGGUAGCUAAUACCGCAUAACGUCGCAAGACCAAAGAGGGGGACCUUCGGGCCUCUUGCCAUCAGAUGUGCCCAGAUGGGAUUAGCUAGUAGGUGGGGUAACGGCUCACCUAGGCGACGAUCCCUAGCUGGUCUGAGAGGAUGACCAGCCACACUGGAACUGAGACACGGUCCAGACUCCUACGGGAGGCAGCAGUGGGGAAUAUUGCACAAUGGGCGCAAGCCUGAUGCAGCCAUGCCGCGUGUAUGAAGAAGGCCUUCGGGUUGUAAAGUACUUUCAGCGGGGAGGAAGGUGAUGAGGUUAAUAACCUUGUCGAUUGACGUUACCCGCAGAAGAAGCACCGGCUAACUCCGUGCCAGCAGCCGCGGUAAUACGGAGGGUGCAAGCGUUAAUCGGAAUUACUGGGCGUAAAGCGCACGCAGGCGGUCUGUCAAGUCCGAUGUGAAAUCCCCGGGCUCAACCUGGGAACUGCAUUCCAAACUGGCAGGCUAGAGACUUGUAUAGGGGGGGAGACAUCCCUGUGGGGCACUGUGACAUGCUCAAAUCUCUUUAAGUAUAUGGUCGUCCAGGGGG
rnacentral:rRNA from 1 species